rnacentral:rRNA from 1 species
UUAAUAAUUAUUUAUUAAUUUUAUAAUUUUAUUUAUAUUAUUAUUAUUAAAAAUAAUUAUAAAUUUAAAUGUUUUAGUAUAUUAUAUAAAAAAAAUAAAAUUAUUAAUAGUUUAUUAGUAUUGUAAAAUAAUAUUGAAAUAUAAUGAAAAAUUUUUGUUUUAAAAGAAAAUUUUAUUUAUUGUAUCUUGUGUAUCAGAGUAUAUUAAAUAAAAAAUAAUUAUUUUAUUUUUCUCGAUUUUAAAAGAUUUAAUAAAUUAUAAAAAUUAAUGUAAUAAAAUUAUUUUUAAUAAUUUAUUAGAAAUGAAAUGUUAUUCGUUUUUAAAGGUAUCUAGUUUUUUAAGAAAUAAAUUAAAUUUAAAUUUUUAAAAUUUAUUUAUUUAUUUUUUUUAAUUAAAUAAUUUUUAAAAAUUAAUAUUUUAUGGGAUAAGCUAUAAAAUAAAUUUUUAUAAAUAAUAAAUAUAAUUUAAAUAUUAUAUGUUUAGAAUUAUCAAUUAUUAUUAAAUUUGUUAUAAAUUAAUUUUUACAAUAAAUUAUUUAUUAUAUUUUAAAUUUUUAUUAAAAUAUUUUUUUUAACAAUAAAAAUAAAAUAAUAAUGAUAUAAUUAGUAUAUUAUAAUUUAAUUAAUUUUUUUAAAAUGAAAAGUUUAUUUAAAGAAUUCGGCAAAAAUAAUAUUCGCCUGUUUAACAAAAACAUGUCUUUUAGAAUUUAAUUUAAAGUCUAACCUGCCCAAUGAUUUUUUUUAAUGGCCGCAGUAUUUUAACUGUGCAAAGGUAGCAUAAUCAUUAGUCUUUUAAUUGAAGGCUGGAAUGAAUGGUUGGACGAAAUAUUAACUGUUUCAUUUGAAAUUAUAAUAAAAUUUUAUUUUUUAAUUAAAAAGUUAAAAUCUAAUUAAAAGACGAGAAGACCCUAUAAAUCUUUAUAUAUUUAUUAAUUUUAAUUUUAAAGAUUUUUUUAAUUAUAAUAAAUAAAUAUAUUUUAUUGGGGUGAUAUUAAAAUUUAAUUAACUUUUAAAUAUUUAAAUCAUUAAUUUAUGAAUAAUUGAUCCAAUUAUAUUGAUUAAAAAUUUAAGUUACUUUAGGGAUAACAGCGUAAUUUUUUUGGAGAGUUCAUAUUGAUAAAAAAGAUUGCGACCUCGAUGUUGGAUUAAGAUAUAAUUUUAGGUGUAGCCGUUUAAAUUUAAAGUCUGUUCGACUUUUAAAAUCUUACAUGAUCUGAGUUCAAACCGGUGUAAGCCAGGUUGGUUUCUAUCUUUAAUAAAUUAAAAUAUUUUAGUACGAAAGGAUUAAAUAUUAAAUUAAUUAUAAUUUAAAAAUAAGAAUAUUAUUAAUAAUUUA